UCUUAACCCAAGAAGUAGUAGCAACAAGCUAAAGAAUCACAAAGAAAUGUUGGAUUGAAAGCUUGAAGAAUAGUUCUGCAAUAAUCACAACAAUUGCAGAAAAUGAGAUUAAUUUCUAGUUUCCUAGAGUGUUUAGCUUUAUUUAAUUGAUUUCUAACAAAUCUCUAAUAUCCUAUUAUGAUCCCAAGUUACAUAAGGCUCACUAGAUUUGUAGUAUUUUUACAUAGGAAAUUGCUGCAUGCAAAAGCUAUUUAUGUAGCUUUUAUAGAAAGAGAAAGUA
rnacentral:lncRNA from 1 species